rnacentral:lncRNA from 1 species
AUAAAUUUUUAUACCAAUCGAAGUGACCAUCUAGCAAUGGUACCCGACAACCAGAUAGGUCGAAUGUGUAGAACAACAUCCUUAGAACCCAUGCGGAUAUAGUUUUCAUAUAAUUCAUCCCCUUGACCAAAAUGAUCAUAGGACACCCUAGAGUUCAACUGUCAACUCUGAUCAGGUUGUCCACAUUGUAUUUUAAAAUAUCAAAUCCAUCUGAUGGAUUACCCUGGCCAAGGUUUUGCUAAAUUGAAAUACAGUGACUCAUUCUUCUCCAACUCUUGGAGUGGUCAAUCC